GUUUAUAACGCAUUUUGCUUUAAAAGAUUUUUUAUUUAUAUUUCUCGCAGGUUCGUCCGUAGCAGCAGCCUCGGAUUUACGGAUACCAAAGGACCCUUUAAAACAGGCGCAGCGGAGAUUUCUUUUGCUGGUACUGGAUCGCUUUUUGUGUCGGGUAAGUUUGUGAUUUUAAAUUUGUUUAUUGCGCGUUUAGUUUUAAAUAAUGAUUUAUUUAUAUUUCUUGCAGGUUCAUCCGUAGCAGCAGACACAAAUUUUAGGAUACCGGAGGACUCUUUAAUGCAGGUAAGUAAUUUUUAAAUUUAGUUUGUUAAUUUAGUAUGUGUUUAUAAUUUUUAUUUUUAUUGUUUCGCAGACGCAGCGGAUCUCUUUUUAUUCUUUGCUGGUACUGGAUCGCUUUUGUGUCAGAUAAGUUUAUGUUUUUAAAUUUGCUUAUAGUGCAUUUAGCUUUAAAAGAUUUUGUAUUUAUAUUUAUCGCAGGUUCGUCCGUAUCUGCAGACACGGAUUUUUGGAUAGCAGGCGCAGCGGAGAUUUAUUAUGCUGUUAUUGGAUCGCUUUUGUGUCGGGUAAGUUUGUGUUUUUUUAAAUUUGUUUAAUGCGCGUUUUGUUUAAAAUAAUAUUUUAUUUAUAUUACUUGCAGGUUCGUCCGUAGCGGCAGACACAGAUUUUAGGAUACCGGAGGACUCUUUA